rnacentral:rRNA from 1 species
GGAUUUACUGGGGCGGAAAAGGAUGCGUAGGCGGAUAUUUAAGUGGGGAUGUGAAAUCCCCGAGCUUAACUCGGGGGCUGCAUUCCAAACUGGAUAUCUAGAGUGUCGGAGGGGAAGUGGAAUUCCUAGUGUAGCGGUGAAAUGCAUAAGAUUAAGAAGAACAGAAGUGGCAAAGGCGACUUUCUGGACGAAACUGAAAAGAGGCAUGAAAGCGAGGGAGAAACAGGAU